CAAAGCUCAUAUAGACCAGACCUGUCACAUAUUUUCAGUAACAGUCAGCCACAGCAAUGACCAUAAGAGUCUCAAAUCAUUAAGCAAUGUCUCACUGUGAUGUCAUGCAUUGAUGUACAGAGCUGUAAUCCUUUCAAAACAGACAUUGUCAGUGUGAUAAAGUGGAUACAAACAAGCUUCUGAACAGGGAUGACUAAAGCUUUGGAAAAAUUCAUUGGCCUGAAAAAGGAGGAAAAAGGGUCCUAACACUACCACCGCCAGGCUGUAACAACCCAGCUAGAAUAACCAAAAGGCUUUGGGUUGGACCAUCUUGAAAAUUUUCACCAGCUCUCAUGAAACCAGCAAUACUCCACUUGAAUCAACCAGCAAAAAAAAAUGGAAAUCAAAGCAAACAGAUAGGAUUUCCAGUCCAACGAGGGCCCCAACUCAUAGGGAAGGGUCGGAAAGACUUUGGCUUACUGAGCCCCUACAACUGAUGAGUGACCCUGGUAAGCUAUUAGCAUGCAUAUAGAAAUGUUAUUGUUUUUAUUAUUUUCUCUGUUAUGCUUUUACCUUAAGAAUAAAUAGAAAGAGCUGUGUGGUAACUUACAACUGUGGGUAAUACACUGGUCAUUCUUCUAGAGAGAGAGCUAACCACAGAGCCUCCAUUUUAGACUCUCUGUCUUGCUGGGAAUAUCACAAUGUAUGCAGGGAACUGUGCAGCCUUAAAGAAGCCCCCAUCAGGAGAGAGUGAAAUGUGCCCAAGGGACUUGAUGGCUGGGAGCUUGAAGGCUAGAGGGGUACCCUUGAGGGACCAUAAAGGGGGAAUACAGGUGCAGUUUCCGUGAAACCGUGACACUUUUCCUUUACUGUUUUUAUCCUUUAUUAUAACCACUUUUGUCUCGUAUAAUUUAAAACUACAAAUUGUCAUAAAUGUUACAGUCAAAAGAGUUACCUUCAAUAGAAUUAAUUCAUCUAGUUUUCUUUUUUGAGCUGAAAAGCAGGUUUUGCCAGUUAAGAUGACUGCAAAUUAUUUCUGUGUUUGGAUACCUUAAAUGUUACUUUUCUUUUUAAAUUCCUAUUUGGCAUGUACAGCGAAGGACCCAGUCCUGAAGGAGAAAUGUUGAUUUUGCCAUGUUUAAGAAAACUGGAUUAGAAACUGUUAUAAGUCUACUUUACUUCUGCGUUGUGUUACUUUUCUUUAUGUUUCCAACAAGAAACAGACUUAAGAUACUUCAACGUACACAUAUUCCUCUUAUCACGGCAGACCGCAGCAGGAAUGAGAUUUAUCCAGGACAACCAGAGUUACUAAAACAUGAGGUAAAGCUGGCACCAAGAUGACUAGCCUGGAGGAAAUUAUGAAAAAGCGAAGGGGUUUUCCUUUUUCAACAGGAAACAAAGCCUGAGGUUUUGUAAUUGUGCUUCGUGAAGGUAGCAACCUGAAGAGAGUGGCAGCAUUGUCUAACACUUGAGUAAUACAGUAGGAGGCAGAUUUAUGAGUCAAGAUUUGUCCCUACCACUGACACUCUCUGGGCUUCAGGCAACUGCAAAAGAAGUAAUGCCCACCUUUAUAAGGUGCUUUGCGAGUCAAAGUAAGUGCUAUAUACAAAGUACAAAUUUAUUUUAAUUAUUACAUCGUGAGUGGUUUUUUACAGAAUACAAUGCCUUAUAACAUAUGAUUCUCACUUACAGAAAAACCAUAUAUUAUAGUACAACUACAUCUACUAUAUGUGAAACUUAGCAAGUCAACUGUUCUGUGGUUAAAACCUCUUUAGCUUUGCUCAUUUGUUUUUUAACUUUAAUGGUAUCUCAACAAAUGCUAUUAAAUUGCAGGAUUUUUUGCUAUGAACAGAAAUGAAAAAUGUAUAAUAAAUAAUACCACUUAAUCUGUCAAAUGCCCUUAACAUGAUGUUGAAAUUAUAAUCUUAAAGACUUGCACUAAUAUCAUUUCAUUUUGCCUUUCUUAUAGUCUUCAUCAACUUGUGUUGAUAAUGUUUCAUUUUGACAUCAUAAUAGUAUCUCCAUGGAUUCAGGAUGACAUUGUGUUUUGACAUCAUGUUAAAAAAAAUAUACGCAAUUGAUAUCACGUCAUUGUCACCCUAAUAUUGUCUCUCUUGGAUUUGAAUUAUAUUAUUUUAUUUUGAUAGCCUUUCCAUUAAAAUGGGUGGUAAAAUAUGACAGUUGCUAAAAUAAAGUUAUGAAAAUGUUCUGCAUAGUUGUUGUUGGGUUUUUGCUGCUGCUGUUGAAACUUGAAUAUUCAAAAUACAGUAAGGAAUUGGUUCUGUAUGGGGGUGAUCGUCAGCUGGUAUAAAGUGCCAUAGCUCUGUCAAUGGGUCUAUGUCAAUUCACUCCAGAUGAUGAUCUGCUCCUAAGAGAAUGUAAAAUGCCUUUUGUUCUAGAGUUUGGUAAAAAUGUGUCCGGAUUUAUUCUCCCAUUUCAGAAAUUCACGCACGAGCUCCAACAGCAAAAAUAUCCUUGCAGAUCAGUUGUCGUUUUCAGAAUGUCUAAACUGCAUGUUUCAUUCUUCUAUGUGUACUCACCAGAAAGUCUCUUCUGAAUACCAUUAAAAAGAUGAGUUUUUGUG